rnacentral:lncRNA from 1 species
UGGUCAGAACAACCAGGGCCUCUUCGGUGGCUCCGCCGGUCUCAUCGGCCUCGGCCGCCACCCCAUCUCUUUCGUCCAACAAACCGCCUCAAAGUAUGGCAAGAUCUUCUCCUACUGCCUCCCUUCCACCUCUAGCUCCACCGGCCACCUCACCUUCGGCCGCGCCACCUCCCGCCACCUUCUCUACACCCCCUUCUCCACCAUUUCCCGUAGCUCCUCCUUCUAUGGUCUCGACAUCGCUUCCAUCGCUGUCUCUGGUGCCAAACUCUCUCUCACUCCCGCCCUCUUUUCCACUGGCGGCGCCAUCAUCGACUCCGGCACCGUCAUUACACGCCUCCCUCCCACUGCCUACGCCGCUCUCCGCUCCGCCUUCCGCCAGGGCAUGUCCAAGUACCCCUCUGCGGCUGAGCUCUCCAUACUCGACACGUGUUACGAUCUCAGCGCGAAUAAGGUGAUUUCCAUUCCCAAGGUAAAUUUUGUGUUUAGUGGCUCUGUCACCGUGGAGUUGCAGCCGCAAGGCAUACUCUAUGUGGCCAGUGCAAAGCAAGUUUGUUUGGCUUUUGCUGCAAAUGGUGAUGACAGUGAUAUCACCAUUUUUGGAAACGUGCAACAGAGAACCCUAGAGGUUGUGUAUGAUCUUGGAGGUGGCAAGAUAGGGUUUGGUGCUGGUGGGUGCAAGUGAAAAGACUCUUAUUUUUCACUUACAUUGCUUCAAAUUUCAAAUUAGGUUCUUCAGAUCCAACAUUUGGAUAACCUGAUUAAAAAAAGUGUAAGUUGAUAUUGUUGGAGUGCAAAUCUCUCUUUUCAACCUACAUUUUUAAAAAAAAAAUUAUAUUAGGUUAUUCCCAUAGAAUGUUUCAUAGGGUGGAUUAACCUAAUAAAAAAGUGUGGGUUGAUAUUGUUGGGGUAGAAGAAGAAAACAAAAGUGAAAGUAAGUUAAUUAUUUAACUAAACAUGUUUUGAGCUAGUUAGGGAGAAAGAAAUCCUAGUUGGCUCUAGCUUUUAUGAUUGUUAAUUAUGAUUAGUGUUCUUAUAAUGAUAGAGAAAAGGGAAAACAAAAAUAGUGUGGGGAUGUUACUCAUUGAAGAUGCAAAAUAAUGUGUAACAAGUAGAGGAAAGGAAGGCGUUACAUAUAGGUCAUGGGUAAGGUGAAAAAAAGUGUAAACUUGUUCUUGCUAUUAAUUAAAAGUUUGUUGAAUAAAGAGAAAAUGUCCUUUGUUUUGUUAUUUAGUUUGAUCGUGCUAGAAUAUAGUUUGAGAUAAUUAAUCUUUAGGAUGCUAUUUUUUAUUCUUUUAAUUCAUAUGACAAUGUGUAUCAAUGAAAAUAUGGAACUUAGUGAUAGAUAUCAAUUUCACUCUUUAGAAUGAUAAGAUAAACUUCAGAAAGAACUUAAUUGAUCAAAAUUUAAACAACAUAUAUAACAAGGUUUUUGUUGGUUACAUUUAAUUUAAAUUUUUUAAUGAAUAGUCAGUAUUUUACUUUAUUCUCUAAAGUGAAUAAUUUUAUAGUCAUUUAGAAGUUUCAAAAUCCAUACCAUGUUUAAUAUAUAUAUAUAUAUAUAUAUAUAUAUAUAUAUAUAACCCUUAAUAUUGAUUAUUAGAAGUUUUCAACACCUAUCCCAUAAAGUUUACCUUGAGGCUUUUAGAACUCAAAACCAAACCUUAACAAAACAUAACUAAAAGUUUAAGAGGGUUAAGAGAUGCGUAUUGUGCAAAAGCUUUUUUCUUAUAACUCACCCACGAGCAUAAAUGAUUGCACAUUGUAAUUAAAAGAAAUAAGCGAAUCAAAUAUCAUCAUUAAAUAAAUUAUUUAACCCUUUUCCAUCAUUUAUUAUUUAAUUUAAUUAAGAAUCCUUUUUAAUAAAAGGUUGAAUCAAAUUCUUCAAUAUAAAAAUACAAUAAUGUAAACUCUUUUAAGAUUCAUUCAAGUGCCUUCAUUUUUUUUAAAAGGAAGCAAUGUAACUUUUAUAUGAUAAAAUUGAUGUCAUUAGAUUUAUAAAUUAUCUAUAUCAUUCAUAUAUUAAAAUUGUCAAUAUUUAUUUAUUAAGGAUUUCAUUGCUAAUUAAAAAAAAUAUGUGUUUUUAAUUAAGACAAUUGGUUAAAACUCGUGAAACUAAUAAUACAUAUAUAAUUUAGAAUUAAAAAGUUAAUUAAACCUUUAGGAAAGAUGAUGAGGCAAGAGAAUAAGAGUUUGCCAAGGCUGGGAUUUUAAAGCUUUCCAAAGUUUAAUCAUUGGACUUUGGAUUGCAAUAUAUCGAUCUCACGGUUGUUUCUUAUUGUACAUCCAUACUCCUGAUACCUUAUAGGUCAACUGAAAAUAACAUUUUUUUUUCUUAAAAAUUUAUAUUUUUUAUUAUAAAAUUUAAAAAUAUCUUUCAAAUUUUAUAAUUUAAAAUGAAUUUUUUUAAGGUAUUUAUGAAUCUAUCUGAAAUACCUUCCGCAUUCUAUAAUAAAAAUAUAUAUUUUGGAUUAUAAUCCGUAAGAUAUUUCUCUUUUUAAUUUACAUGUUUUAAAUUGUAUAAUUCAGAAAUUGUUUCUGAAUUCAUAAGUACUUUCUAAAUUCUACCAUCUAAAAUAUAUAUAUUUUUUUUAAAAACUACAUUUAGGAUCACCAUUUUUAAAAUAAAAAACACUAAUAUAAUAAAGGGUAAUUUUGGUAUUUUAAGAAGUAAGGGUGCCAGAAGUAGCUAUGGACGUGCAGGAAGAAACAACCCAAUAUCACUUUUGAAUUUGGGCCACUACACAGGGAUAACUAUUGGAACCACAAUAUAAUUACUCAAACCCCACCUCUUUUUAUAAAUGAUUUUGUUGAUGUUGGACACUUGUAUAACACAAUAUAAAUAAAAGUAUUGAGCUUAGCUUCAUCCCAAAAUUUUACAUCCCCCAUGUCUUUUAAUUCCACACCACCAUCAUCAUCCUCUCUGCUACAUGAUAAAAGUCCAUAUAUCUUACCCAGAGAACCCAAAUUUGAGUCUCAAUACUUUCUCUUUAAUAGUUGGAAAACUUAAAUUACCAUAACGAAGAAGAGAGAUUGAAAUUUUAGAGAGAAAAAGGAGAAAAUAAAAAAAUAAAAAAAAUAAAAAGGAAAGAGAAGAACUAUAAGGAUUGAGGUUACAUUAGAUUGAAUUUAAUUGGGGCAAAAAGGGUGACAGAGGAGGAGAGAAAGAAGAAAUGGAGAAUGAAUGUGAAUAGUAUGAGAGGGGUACUUAGUUUGCUUGACUUUAUGGGAGGAGAAAAACAAGAGUAAUGACUUGGUUUGCUAAGCUACUCACUCAAUGACACAUACAUUAUUUGAAUUUUCCACUGGUUAGCUCCACAGUCGACCCAUACUUGCAUUUGCAUUAUGCCCUUCAAUCAAAUAAUUUAGUUAUCCCUACGAACUUUAUCAAAUUCUAAUUUUAAUUAUUUUAAUAAUAAUGUAUAAAGCUUCAUGAGAUGAAUUCAUUGUCCAUCACAAUUUGUGUUGUGGUCCCUAACACAAUCAAUGCAAAACUGAGAUUGAAGAAACGUCUUGAGGGAGAUUGUUGUAGGUGUUGUAGCCUUAAUCCAAUCGGUGCAAAAGAGAGCCUGUGUAGAGGAUUAAAGCGCUUGCACUUUGGAUAAAAAAGGAGCUGCAAUAUCAACACUGUAAGGAAAUCAGAAUGAACAGAAAAUGGGUCUUGAUGAACCCUAAGUCUAAAGGUGCAUAAGAAGAAGAUAAGCUGUUAAACAGAAACGAAGGUAAGGUGAAAAAAAUAUUAUUUACUUCAGUAAAUGUCAUGUAAUUACAGGGGUACACUUAUAGAAAAAGGGGGCCUGGGCCAAAGACAUGGGCCAAGGAAAAUAAACUAAUCCUAACAACCCAAACCAAAAUAACUACCUACCUACUUUAUCACCCCCCCUCAAGCUGGGAGUAAAUAUUUUUCAUUCCCAGCUUGGAUUUAAGUUGAGUAAACAGAGCUAGUGCAAGAGGUUUUGUGAAUAUGUCGGCUAUUUGUAGAGAAGAUGAAAUUGGAAGGAGUUUGAGGAGCCCAGUAGUGACCUUUUCUCUGACAAUAUGACAGUCGAUUGCAAUGUGCUUGGUACGCUCAUGAAAGACUGGAUUGGAAGCGAUUUGGAUAGCAGAUUGGUUGUCACAAAAGAGAGUCGCUGGUUGAGUGUAUGGAAUUCCAAGAUUUUGAAGAAGAAAGGUAAGCCAUUGUAACUCACAGGUGGUAGUGGCAAGAGCCCUGUACUUAGCCUCGGAUGAGCUCUUGGAGAUAGUCUGUUGUUUCUUCGAUUUCCACGAAAUGAGAGACUCUCCCAGAAAAAUGGAGAAGCCAGUUACGGAUUUUCUGGUGUCAGGACAGGUAGCCCAGUCUGAAUCACUGUAGGCACGUAGAUGUAUGGGGCUGUUGCGGUGAAGGAAGAUACCAGAACCCGGAUUGCCUUUGAGGUAGUGGAGAACACGAAAAACAGCUUGUUGAUGAGCUUUAGUUGGAGAUGAGAGAAACUGGCUGAGGUUGUUUACACUGAAAGUGAUGUCUGGUCUUGUGUUGGUAAGAUAAAUAAGUUUGCCAAUCAGACGACGAUAUUGGAAGAGUCUUUCUCAGAAAGGAGAGUGCCUUCAGAAGAUUGCAGUCGAGAGGAGUGGAUCAUUGGAGUAGGCACUGAAGCAGAAUCUAACAUUCAUGUCUCAUGGAGAAGAUCUAGAACAUACUUUCGUUGGCUGAGAUGUAAACCACUGCUGUUUCGAGCAACCUCAAGUCCUAGGAAGUACGUGAGAUCUCCAAGGUUCUUGAUCUUGAAUUGUUGAUGUAGUGUGGUAGUAAUGUGAUUGAUUUCCUCGAUAUUGUUUCCAGUAAGUACAAGAUCAUCAACAUAGACAAGGAUAGCAGUUAGUUUGUUUGUAUCUCGCUUCAAAAAAAGGGAAUGAUCAGCAGAAGAUAAGAUAUAGUUAUGAGAAAUGAGAAAAAAGGAUAACUUAGCAUACCACUAUCUUCCAGCUUGGCGAAGUCCAUAAAGAGAUCGCUAAAGUUUGCAAACAUGUUGAGAUGUAGGGACAGACAAGCCAGGAGGUGGUUGCAUAUAAACUUCUUCGUGUAGAUCGCCAUGUAAAAAGGCGUUGUUGACAUCUAGUUGCUUUAAGUACCAGUCAUUAGCAGUGGCAACCGCAAGCAAGAGUCGUAAGGUAGUGAGCUUGGCGACAGGAGCGAAUGUAUCGAGAAAAUCAAGACCUUCGAGUUGCGUGUAACCCUUGGCCACUAAGCGUGCCUUGUAGCGAUCAAGAGUGCCAUCAGAUUUGUGUUUGAUUUUGUAGACCCAUCUACAACCUAUUGUUGUUUUCCCUUCGGGAAGAGGAAUGAGCUGCCAGGUAUGAUUGGUAGUAAGAGCAUCAAGUUCUUCUUGCAUCGCUCGCUGCCAACAGUCGUGCUUGGAGGCCUCAUUAUAAUUGCGAGGCUCCGUGUGUGAGGAUAUAGAAAGAAUAGUGUUUUUAAAAGCAGAUGAUAAAGUUGAGUAAGAAAGAAACUUGUGAAUAGGGUAUUUGGAACUUACAUUGCUUGCACUUGGUAUUUGAGUGUGGAAGUCCUCUAAGUAUGUGGGUGGUCUUCGUGGUCUAUAAGACCGUCGAGGUGGUGUUCCAGGUAUGGUUGGAAUCAGAGAAUUAUCCUCAUGUGGAGUAGUAUCUUCAUGUGGAGCAGUAUCCUCACGUAAAACAGUAUCCUCAGAUGAAGUAUUUUCAGAUUCAAAAAUAAGAUCACAAUUUGUAUCAUAAUUCGAAGGUAUAGGUAAAGACAAACUAUUGGGACUGUUAUUUUUAUCAUUUUUUGACAUAUAUGGAAAAUGAUUUUCGUAAAAGACUAUGUGCCUUGAGAUCUCAAUACGAUGAUAUUUUAGAUUUAAGAAAAUCUAUCCCUUUGUAUGAGCUGGAAAUCCAAGAAAAAUGCCAUGCACAGACCUAUCAUCUAACUUUUUUCUAGUGCAGUAAGUGUGCUAGAAUAACAGAGGCAUCCAAAAACACGUAAAUUAGAUAUAUCACAGGGUUUAUCAUGUAGUUUCUCAUAUGGAGCAAUGUUUUGCAGCAAUGGAGUAGGAGUACAGUUAAUAAGAUAAGUAACAUGUUGAACAGCAAAAUCCCAAAAAAGAGAAGGUAAAUUAGCUUGAAAGAUUAAAGCACGAGUGAUAAUGCAUGUUAUUUGAUGAAUAAUUCCUUUGGAGGAAAAGAAAUCUUUCAUAGAAAAUUCAGGGCCAUUGUCCGUACGAAUGAUUUUAGCAGUAGUAUGAAAAUGAUUUUCAAUGUAGGCAAUAAAACUAACAAUCUUUUGUCUAACUUCGGAUUUUGCAUGUAAGAAAAAAAUCCAAGUAUAACGAGAAAAGUCAUCUACAACAGUAAAAAAAUAUCUGAAACCUUGCAUAGAAUUUAUAGAACAAGGACCCCAAAUGUCCAUGUGUAUAAGAUCAAAAACAGCUGCAGUUUUCGAAGUGCUUAAAGUAAAAGGAAGUUUCUUUUGUUUGGCACGAUUGCAAAUAUCACACAAAUGUAUUUUUUCAGAAGAAAUAAAAGGAUAUUGAGUUCUCAACACACGUAAUCUUUCAUUAGAAAGAUGUCCCAGUCUAUAGUGCCACAAAUUAAAGUCCUUAGAAAUGUUAUGAACAGAAGGAACAGUGUUAAGUGUGGCAGAAAAAGGAAAAAUGGCAGAAUUAAACAUGUACAAGCCAGCUUUGGCACUAACUAAACCAAUCUUCUCUUGAGUUAUGUUGUCCUGUAUAAUACAGUGGGUAGAGAAAAAGAUCAAAUGGAAGUUCAAAUGCAAACAUAGUUUGGAAGUAGAAAUCAAAUUGAAAGAAAAUUGAGGUACAUACAAAACAUCUUUAAGAAAGAAUUUUUUAUUGAAAGUGACAGUUCCAGAAUAUUCAGCAUACAUAUGAUUUCCAUUGGGUAAGUUAAUAAGAAUAGGUUUAAUUUUCCUAUAAGCAGUAAAAGCUAAUAAAACAGUGCAUACAUGAUCUGUUGCUCCAGAGUCAAGAAUCCAGAAAUUUUCAGUUUUAAUUGCAGAAUUUAAAAUGGUAUUACCCGUUGAAGAUUGCUAAAAAAACUUUGUGAUUUGGAUCUGCAGAGAAGGAUCCCACUUGAUUUAUUUGGGCAGCAGCACUGUUGCCAUUUUGUUUGAACAUCUCAGAUAAGAUUUGAUACUAUUGAGUUGUAAAAGGACUGUCUUUGUGUUCCUGCUCUUUUGCACAAUGCUCAGAAAAACUAUCAUCAACAGCAGCAACUAUCACAUUAUUAGCUUGGUUAUUUUGACCAUUACCAUAAAACCUAUAUCCAGCAGGAUAACCAUGUUUCCUGUAGCAAGAUUCAAUGGUAUGACCACUUCUAUUACAAUAGGUACAAUGUUUUCUAUUUCCACUGUUUUUUAGGGUUCUAUUAUCUUGACUGGGAAAACCAAUUUUUCUAAAACAUGUAUUCUCAGAAUGUCCAAAUUUACCACAGAAGGUACAAACAGCAGAAGUAUUCACAUGUUUAGUGUUAGCACUAUUGAUAUUCGAAACAGAAUAACUGCUAGCUAAUUCUUGUUGAACCAUAAGGGAGAAAAUUUUCGUUAUAGGGGGAACAGGAUCCAUCAGCAAGACAUGAGAUCGAAUGUUGUAAUAUUGAUCAUUUAGACCCCUAAGAAACUGCAUAGCUUGAUCCUCACAUUUUAUUUGACAUAUGAUAGCAGCGGCGACACCAACGGUGUGGCUGGAUUUUCGCUAGGAUGCAGGUACAGGUAACUUCCGGCUGAUGGGGUCGACUGUUCCGUUUGAGUGGAAGUGGAAGGGGUUUUAUUUUGUUCUUCCGCCAUAUCUGUAAGGAAAAACAAUGAGGAAAAGGAGAACAGAAAGGCGUGAAUCAGGAACCAAUUGUGAAAGAAAAAGUGCAAGAACAAGAGAUUGAAACAAGAAAAUCAGAGUUACACAGCAGAGCUCUACAAUCGAAGAGCUCCGAUACCAUAACACAAUCAAUGCAAAACUGAGAUUGAAGAAAUGCCUUGAGGGAGAUUGUUGUAGGCAUUGUAGCCUUAAUCCAAUCGGUGCAAAAGAGAACCUGUGUAGAGGAUUAAAGCGCUUGCACUUUGGAUAAAAAAGGAGCUGCAAUAUCAACACUGUAAGGAAACCAGAAUGAACAGAAAAUGGGUCUUGAUGAACCCUAAGUCUAAAGGUGCAUAAGAAGAAGAUAAGUUGUUAAACAGAAACGAAGGUAAGGUGAAAAAAUAUUAUUUACUUCAGUAAAUGUCAUGUAAUUAUAGGGGUACACUUAUAGAAAAAGGGGGCCUGGGCCAAAGACAUGGGCCAAGAAAAAUAAACUAAUCCUAACAACCCAAACCAAAAUAACUACCUACCUACUUUAUCUGUCCCAUCGACCAUUCAUAGUUGCAAUUGAUUAGAAAACAGUGUAUUCAUGUGGGUCCUGUCCCACUUUGUAAUUGCCUAACUCCCACUCUCCAUGAAUUUACAAAAUACAUGCCUUAAGAUAAUCACAAUAAUAAGAAAUGGGAAUUCCAUUGAUAUUUCCCAAAACUUUUUUUACUCUCUGUUUCCAACCAUAUAAACACACACACAUAUAUAACUUUCAAAGUUUUGAAAGGACGGAGGGAUAUUUGAAAAACGAGAUGAACUCAAGAGGAUUGGGGAAGUCGAAGCUUGUGCGGAGGACGAUGGUGUGUUACUAGAGUAGUUCUAAGAAGGUGGUUCCUUCGCACAGAAGGUGUAGCAUAUCCACUAUGGUGGCCAUAUCUCGACCAGAUGAAGGUACCAAUACCACGUUUUGGGAUUAUCCCACGAAACACGUUAUAUAUGAAAUAGCUCUAUUCCUAGAUGAAAGAGUUAACUAGUUGGAUUCCUUCUGCCAUGGAGAAGAAAUUUUUCAAUUCUUGAAACAACGGCAGAAUUGGUGAGGAGAUGGCUAGUAAAAGCACUGGAUUGGUUGCACCUUGUCAUGAGAAAGAGUUUGCAACCACGUUUUAUUUUCCAGAUCGGUACAAAGUUUCAAAAUCAUAUCCUUAAAAUUUUAGUUUUAACGUUUUGUUUUGGGAUUUGAAUCUUUUUAGAUAAUAAGGUGUUCAAACUUUUUUGAUCUGUAUACAUCUUGAAAUGUUGGCUCAAUAAAUACUGAUGUCAUUUUUUCAUUUAUUCUUUUUUGCAUACAUUUAAUAUACAUAAAUUGGGAUGCUUGGAAGCGUGUGCACUUCUUCUUACUGAAAAACGAAAGAGGAUGAUCGUCUUGGCUGAGCACGACUCUACUACCACUUGGAUGCAUUUGUUUCUACAAUAAAGAAUUUGGAGAAGUCCAAAAAAUGUAAUGUAGGUAUUUUGGAUAACUGUAUUCUGUAAAAGUUUGUUGGCAAAAAUAGAAGCUUCUGGCAGGUCAUUUGAAGGAGGUGUUAUGGCUAUUAUAGAUGAUAGGUGGUUGUACUUUGUCGACUACCUUGUUACGGGUGUGACAAUAGAUACACAUCUAUUUGUGUGUACAAUUAGAUACAUGCACUUCGUGGGGCAGGGCAAGAUUGGUUGUUUGUAUUACCACAUUGUCAAUUGCAUGGUCCGGAUGAUUGCAAGACACAACCUUUUGUGUCUCGUUACACUGACUCCAAUGAAUAUAAUUGUUAAGCUCUAACAACAUCAUUAAUUACUACAUUUCAAUUUUGGUCCUCUUUGUGAUCUCUUAUAUGCACACCUAGCAUUCUACACUUGCCAAAUUUUCGUGACAUUGCCUUUAUUGUACCCUCUCAAAGUAUGUAAUAUGUUUGUUGGCUUCACUAAUUAGUGGCCUUUCACUCAUCUUGGUGGCUACCACACUCCAAGUGGCGUGAACCACUCUCACAACCACUCCAUAAGCUACUCUUCUUCAACUUUUUUCAAUUCAUUUCCAUUUCAUAUAUGUCUUUCUCUUGAAUUCUUGCUUUUGAUUUUGCUUUGAUUAUAUGCUUAUGAUUUAUUAUUUGGUUCGGCCAUGACCACUAUUGAUGUUUAUCUUAUUGUUAUUUUUAUUGCACAUUGCAUUCCAUCUAUCACUUUGUAUUGAUUUUCAUCUUUGUCUUUGUGAAGUGAACCUUCACACUUACUUAACCAUUUAGUUAAGUUCAUGUCCAGUGGAAAUCUUUCUUAGGUUUUCACCAUAAAUUGCUAAAAUCCCAACUCUAAGUAAAGUGUCACCAUAAAAUGAAACCAUCUAAAAAUCAACUCAUAUCAUGUGGUUAUCAGAGUUUAGGUUCUUGAGCUUAUUUUGCUUAGUUGAUUUGACACUUUACUUUUCUUAUACCUUUAUUUCCUUGUCUUUACAUUCAAGCACCUUUAAUUUCUUAUCCUUACAUUCAAACACAUUUAAUUUCAACCCUUUAUUUUCUUACUUGUCAAUUCGACAUUUAUCUUAUCAAUUAGCUUUAUUUUUGCUUUUGAAUUAUAAAUUGUGUCUUCUUUUGUUAUUGUCAUUUUCACCUUAAGUCAUAUGUUCUUUAUUUUUUUUAGGAGUCCUUAUAUUUUGCUUCUACUUACUUUGCUUUUAAUUGUGAAAUUUUAAAAAUAAUUAAAAAUUUGUUUUAGUAGAAGUAGAUUUAAGUUCCAAACAAAAGAUUUUAAGUGAUAAAUUAAAUUGAAUCCCAAACUUUUGUACUAAUUGAUGGUCUAUGAAAAUAUGCAUGAUCAAAACUAUGGAUAUCUCAUUCCAUAAUCAAAAAACAAGUUUAUAUAUAUAUAUAUAUAUAUAAAAAGAGAAGUGGUGCAAGCUUUUGGUUCCAAUCUCUUCAAAUAGAGACAUUUCAUAAAGUAGGUUCGUUUUAAUUAGCAAAUUAAUUUCAACAUUGUGAAAAUUUUAUCCUUUUGCUUUAACAAUUUCUAGAGAAAGAAAAACUUAAUUGUUAAAAGUUUAGUAAGUAUCUUAGAGUCUUUUUGUGUGUCUUUUUUACUUGUAUUUCUGUAAAAAAACUUGUCAUACAUCUUUUCUCAAACUUGGUUUAACUUUCUUGUUUUGUACUUUUCUUGUUUGUCUUUUUAAAUUUCCUUAUGUUUUGUUGUGGUCUUAUUGAGAUCAAGUGAUAAGGUUUUUUUUUUUUCAUUUGAGAAAUUUUAACACUAAGAUAGACCUUUGUUGAGGAAAAAAAAUUCUUUUUGAGUGCUUUAUGUCUUUUUCUCUUUGUUUUACACAAGAGUGAUGCAAGAUUGAGGGAGAGUGAUCUAACUUUUUUUCACUAAUUGUUUGCUCAUUCUUUGUAUUUUAUGGCUCAUCUUUCUUCAGAAAAAUCAUCAAAACCUCAAUCUCCCCAAAAGGCUUUCCUUAUAGGUGAGUUGGCGGCAGCAAAAAGGUCCUAGCACAAAAGGAGGAAAAGAUGAGACAAUUGGAAGAGAGACUCCAAAGGCUUGAAAUCGCACAAGUAAGACAAACAAGAAGGUGGGAGCAUAAGAGAGCUACAAGGAGUUUCACUCAAUAGGAAACCAUGAGGAAGAUGAAGAUUGGAGAAUGAAUCAAUUUGAUAAAAGGCGCAAACAUCAACACCAUCCUUCUAAAAUUUCUUUUCUUUAUGUAAAAUUGUCUAGUUUUAGUGGGGAAAGUGACCCCAACAUUUACUUAGGAUGUGAGGUUAAGGUAGAGCAAAUCUUUAAUAUACAUGAGGUCCAAGAGAAGGUAAAAUUAGCCUCCUUAAAAAUUUUAGAUGCAGUGGUUGCAUAAGACUUAAUGGACAUUGUGCUAAACAAGAGGCCAACCGUGGUCUUUUUAUAUGAUUUGAAAAAAUGCAUGCAUGCGAUGUUCGUUCCUUCUACUAUAGUAAGAAACUCUUGUUGAAGCUCCAACGACUUCAACAAGGACCUAGUAGUGAAGAUGAGUACUUUAAAGAGCUUGAAACAAUUUUAACUAAAAUUGACAUGCAUGAAAGUGAGGAGUCCAAAAUUGCUAGAAUUGUAAGUGGAUUGAGAAGGAAAAUCCAAGAUGUGGUAGAACUUUAUGAAUAAUCAUCAUUGAAAAAAUUGCUUCACCUUGCCAUCACGGUUGAAUCUCAACUUUCAAAGAAAACUAAUUAAAAAAACUCUCACAAUGAUGACUACUACCAAUCAUCUUGAAAAAACAUAAACAAAUCUUCUUAGAAAACUUUUUCUUCAAAUUUUGUAAAAAAUUCCACUUACAAUUCUAGAAACUUUAAACCCUCAACUUUUACACCUAAGUCAUUCAUCAAAACCUUAAGUCAAAAAUGUUUUAAAUAUUUGGGUUUUGGGCACAUUACAGCCAAUUGUCCUUCUAAAAGAAAUUUGAUGGCUAAAGGAAGGGUUGUCAUGAGUGACCAUAACUCACAAAGGUCUGGGUCCCCUAUCUCUUUUUAGAUUCCCAAGUGAAGAAUGAAAUUCUAUGUGGAGGAGACUUAUUAGUAAUGAGGCACAUGCUAGACCAAGUUUUAAAGCCUUUUGAUGAAAGUCAAAGGGAAAACAUUUUCCACACUAAGUGCCUCAUUAAUGAUAAGUUAUGUUCCUUAAUUGUGGAUGGAGGAAGUUAUGCAAAUGUGGAAAACACAAUAGUGGUGAAAAACUUAGAUUAUCCACCAUCUCUCAUGCAAAGCCCUACAAGCUCCAAUGACUAAGUGAAAAAGGGGAAAUAAUAAUAAAUAAACAAGUCCUCAUAGCCUUCUCAAUUUGUAAAUACAAGGAUGAGAUCCUGUGUGAUGUUAUACCUAUGGAAGCCACACACAUUCUUUUAGGUAAACUAUGACAAUUUGAUAGAAAAUCAAUUGAUUAUGAGAAAUAAAAAUAGUUUCUUUGGUUAGAAAAUCAUCGAUUAUUCAAAUUGAAAAUGACAAACAUAAUAUAAGGAGUUUAUAAAUGUUAAGGAAAAGCUCAUGAAAAUAUCAAAGGAUAUGAUAAAAGUGUCAAAUGCAAGAAACAAAGAUAGAAUAGCUAAAAUAUGACAUCAAAUGCAUAUUGAGCUUAAAAUAAUGCAAUUAUUGUCAAAUAGUUACAACAUAAUUAGGUAAUGACAAGCAGGAUAAGAACCUCUGUCAAUCCCAAUUAUUUUUAGUUAGAUAGGCAAUUGAAUUCAUUGUGACCAAUUGGUCAUCAAAUGCACGGUAGAAAGCCUCAUAAAAUCCAUUCCUAAAAUUAUAGGGUUAAUAAAAUUAAUAUUAUCUUCUUGACAAUUACAAAAAAAAAAUAUGUUAUUUAUGAGUAGGUACCGAUCUUUCUUAAGAGUAUGUUGAUCCAUCUCAUCAAAUUUCUGAGUAAGAACUUCAACCCCAAGAGAAAGCAACUAGGCAACAACCUAAAGUUAGGUUCCACUUGGAUCCUU